rnacentral:misc_RNA from 1 species
AACGCACCUUGCGCUCCUUGGUAUUCCGAGGAGCAUGCCUGUUUGAGUGUCAUUAAAUUCUCAACCUCACCAGUUUUGUUAUGAGACUGUGUAAGGCUUGGAUAUGGGGGUUUUUGCAGGCUGCCUCUGUGCGGUCUGCUCCCCUGAAAUGUAUUAGCGAGUUCACUAAGCUCCGUCUAUUGGUGUGAUAAUUAUCUACGCCGUGGAAUGGGUUUAGACUUGCUUCUAACCGUCUGCAAAGACAACUUUUGACAAUUUGACCUCAAAUCAGGUAGGACUACCCGCUGAACUUAA